GUGCUUGCUUCAGCAGCACAUAUAUAAAAUUGGAACGAUACAGAGAGGAUUAGCAUGGCUCCUAUGCAAGGAUGACACGUGAAUUUGUGAAGCAUUCCAUAUUUUU
ensembl:snRNA U6 U6 spliceosomal RNA